CGAGUUUGAUCCUGGCUCAGAUUGAACGCUGGCGGUAUGCUUAACACAUGCAAGUCGAACGGUAACAGGAGAAGCUUGCUUCUUGCUGACGAGUGGCGGACGGGUGAGGAACGCGUAGGAAUCUGCCUCAUGGCGGGGGCGCACCGAAAGGUGCGCUAAUACCGCAUAAGCCCUACGGGGGAAAGCGGGGGACCUUCGUGCCUCGCUCCAGGAGAGGAGCCGGCGUUAGAUUAUCUAGUUGGUGGGGUAAAGGCCUACCAAGGCUACGAUCCAUAGCUGAUUUGAGAGGAUGAUCAGCCACAUUGGGACUGAGACACGGCCCAAACUCCUACGGGAGGCAGCAGUGGGGAAUAUUGGACAAUGGGGGAAACCCUGAUCCAGCAAUGCCAUGUGUGUGAAGAAGGCUCUAGGGUUGUAAAGCACUUUAGUUGGGGAGGAAAGCUUAUGAGUUAAUAGCUCGUGGGAAGGACGUUACCCAAAGAAUAAGCACCGGCUAACUCCGUGCCAGCAGCCGCGGUAAUACGGGGGGUGCAAGCGUUAAUCGGAAUUACUGGGCGUAAAGGGUUCGUAGGUGGUAUGUUAAGUCAGAUGUGAAAGCCCAGGGCUCAACCUUGGAACUGCAUUUGAUACUGGCAAACUAGAGUAUGGUAGAGGAAUGGGGAAUUUCUGGUGUAGCGGUGAAAUGCGUAGAGAUCUGAAGGAAUACCAGUGGCGAAGGCGGCCCCCUGGAUUGAUACUGACACUGAGGUGCGAAAGCGUGGGGAGCAAACAGGAUUAGAUACCCUGGUAGUCCACGCCGUAAACGAUGUCUACUAGCCGUUGGGGAGCUUGCCUCCUUAGUGGCGCAGCUAACGCAAUAAGUAGACCGCCUGGGGAGUACGGUCGCAAGAUUAAAACUCAAAUGAAUUGACGGGGGCCCGCACAAGCGGUGGAGCAUGUGGUUUAAUUCGAUGCAACGCGAAGAACCUUACCAGGUCUUGACAUCCUGCGAAUUUUCUAGAGAUAGAUUAGUGCCUUCGGGAACGCAGUGACAGGUGCUGCAUGGCUGUCGUCAGCUCGUGUCGCGAGAUGUUGGGUUAAGUCCCGUAACGAGCGCAACCCUUGUCCUUAGUUGCCAGCACGUAAUGGUGGGAACUCUAAGGAGACUGCCGGUGACAAACCGGAGGAAGGUGGGGACGACGUCAAGUCAUCAUGGCCCUUACGACCUGGGCUACACACGUGCUACAAUGUCAGGUACAGAGGGUUACCAAGCCGCGAGGUGGAGCUAAUCCCAGAAAACCGAUCGUAGUCCGGAUUGGAGUCUGCAACUCGACUCCAUGAAGUCGGAAUCGCUAGUAAUCGCGAAUCAGAAUGUCGCGGUGAAUACGUUCCCGGGCUUUGUACACACCGCCCGUCACACCAUGGGAGUGGGUUGCAAAAGAAGUGGGUAGACUAACCUUCGGGAGGUCGCUCACCACUUUGUGAUUCAUGACUGGGGUGAAGUCGGAACAAGGUA
rnacentral:rRNA from 1 species